UGUUUGUCGCCUGAACGCCACCUUCGUUUAACUUCAAUGACUCCAACACUGCCGUGUGUGCUCAACUUACACAACAAACAUUACCUCAAGCCUUAAAUUGAAAGUUAACUGUCAGUCAAAAAUUGUGCAAACACAGUUUAAGUGCCUUUCCCUCCACUUCGUCUCCCGACUGUGGCGUACAACAGGAUAGCGUUAUUGUUCAGUGCAAACACAUCCAGGUAGAUUCAUCCUUACCUUUAAAAACUUCCCCUCUCGCGGACAACAGCAGCGUUAAUGCAGCAAACAAGCAAUUCAUAACUUUAUCCAUGUCGACAGCGGCGUCGUAGCGUUAACCCCCAGCCGCGGGGUUAACUAGGAACUCUUCAGUCUUUACUGCAACUUGAAUCUACCUACACUUUCCCCAGUGUUAAAUCUAAAGUCUCUUUUCCCCUGCCCUCCGUCCCUUCACGUGCUGUCGGGGUGUGAGAGGACUCCGUCGCCCGACACGGCUGCUCCUUGCCGGCUUUGCUCCACACUUCUUGGAGGAGGAAUGUGUGAGUGAGUCCUGAUUCCUGAAUUACGCGUGGAUUGAGUGGUCCGGCAGCUCCAGGAGAGCAGCGGCUGUGCGCGCACUGUCUAACCGUUAGAGGGCGCGCGUGAGUCCGGCUUGUGAGUGGGGAGAGGACAGGCGGAGGUGUACCCUCCUCCAACCCUUGCGUUCCCAGGCCAGAUGGGAUGUGAAGUCCCUCCACCCUGUUCUGGGUCUACCCUGAGAAGCCCGGCCACCAGACGCUCGCCGUCCAGCUACCCCAGCUUGCUGACUCCAAGGAGAAGAGCAGUAUCGUCCACAGAGCUCGCCACAUCCUUCCGCCAUGUUUAAACAAACAACCAAGGACUACUUCUUCGUGUUUUAUGGCGGCUGGAGGACCAAAGGACAAACUUAUGAGGGACCUUAAUUCGCGAGUUUACCUUAGUUGGUCCGACAUACCCUGGAUAUACCACAUAUUAGGGUUGGGUCAGGUGUGGGCAGAAUGUUGAGUUGGAUGAAAUCUGCACCCUCACAGCUAGAUGUCACUAAAUUUGCAGACUUCAUGAGAAUGCACAGCAGGAAGGCACCUUAACAAACAGUUGGGCUCAGUCAUGAGGAUAAAGUAAGUUACCAUUUAUUUUAAAGUAAACACUUCUCAUAGAAAGAUGAGGGAAAUUAAAAGACAAACAAAAGAAAAGGAGGUCUAAAACAGAUGUAGCAUAGCCAGCCUGAAAGCUAAUAUAAGAAGGUCACAGCACAACAAACAGUUGUUUGCUAGGUUGAGUGAAGCUGUGAUUCUAUGCAAGCAGAGUUAAACCAAGAAAAACUAUUUGUUUAUACAGUCCAGCAUCUAAAAUCCCAUAUAUAAGCUUUUAACAGGGACAUAGAGUCAUUAAUUCAGAGGGGAGGCAUUCACUUUGAGACAGCCUGCCUAAAGUUCAAAGAAAAGUUGUGGCCUGUGCUGCUGCACAUAUAUGAUGCAGGUCUGAGAGUGACUGUGUGCUGAGAGACUGGGCGGUGGAAUUUCCUUUUAUCUCAUUGUUAAUGGCAUCAGUAAAUGUUGAAUUACAGGGUUAGCAUAUGAAAAGUACAGCAAUGCUAAAGCCAAAGCAAAAGAGAGGAUGAAGCUCUGACAGUUUCAAAAUACCACCUUGCUGCCAUGUGUGGGUUGUAGAAGUGAGUGGAGAGUGACUUGUGCGCUGUUGUAAGUGUGCCUUCUACUUUGCUGGUGUGUCAGGUGUAGUGCAGAAAUUCAUAAGAAGUUUUCUUUUGUCCGCAGGUGGCAGCACAGUUUCACGCCUGAUGCCUUUUUGCUGUUCAUAUCAGCAGAACCUGUGACAAUAGGAUCUGACAAGCUCUGUUCUAGAAAUUAGGAUGCUUGCCAGGCCAUCAGUGCCAGCAAGCCAUAAAUGUUUCAUGUGGUGCUGAUAUGGUAAUCAUUGGAUCCCUACAAUGACACCUUGUGAGAGUUGGAUAACGAUGGCUGUCUUUCAGGCCUGUGUGACUCUGGACACGGUCCAACAGCUGAGACACAGCCUGAGGAAUGAAUCAGCCUGUUAAAACUACCUCAAAUAGGUGGAUAAAACCCUUAAAGGUUAGAGAAUAAAGGUGCAGCAGGCGCCCCUUGCAAUCACACAGGGUGACUGGUGGAAGAUGGCUCACAAAUGUAUGCCUCUGAGUUAAAUAUGCAUCCUGUUUCAUGAGGUUUGCGAGUGGGUCCAGGUGCCCGUUGGUGGCACAGACCCAGCUGGAGGAUGUGGCAGACUCGCUCUGCUGGCGCUCAGGCUGGCAUACUAACAGAGCCAGGGGUGCUUUCACAGUGAGUUGAAAGACACCCAGGGUUCAGAAAACACAACUCCAGCUGCAUGUCCACUACCACGUUGAAGCUAAGAGUCUGGAAAUCUAAAAAAGUGGAUUUUCAACCUGUAAUUUUAUUCGUGACAAGAAUAUUGAUCUGGUGACAUUAACAAUCAACAUCUCCCUGUCUUGUUGCACGUGAAAUUCUCUGAGAUUAACGGUUUUUGUGAAAAAAAAAGACAUUUUCUAAUCAAAAGGGAUGAAGCAAUAAAAGGCCACCAUGUCUAAAAGAGCUUAAUGUAUUAUUUCUGCGUAGCUUGUGUAAGCCUUUUAUUAAAGUGAAACAAUCUUGUCAGA